rnacentral:rRNA from 1 species
GGGAAGGUGACUGCAUAAGCUUGCACGUCGAACGGCAGCUCGGACUUCGGUCUGGUGAGCAGAGUUGGCGAACGGGUGAGUAAUGUAUCGGAGCGUGCCCAGUAGCGGGGGAUAACUACGCGAAAGCGUAGCUAAUACCGCAUACGCCCUACGGGGGAAAGCAGGGGAUCGCAAGACCUUGCACUAUUGGAGCGGCCGAUAUCGGAUUAGCUAGUUGGUGGGGUAACGGCUCACCAAGGCGACGAUCCGUAGCUGGUUUGAGAGGACGACCAGCCACACUGGGACUGAGACACGGCCCAGACUCCUACGGGAGGCAGCAGUGGGGAAUUUUGGACAAUGGGGGAAACCCUGAUCCAGCCAUCCCGCGUGUGCGAUGAAGGCCUUCGGGUUGUAAAGCACUUUUGGCAGGAAAGAAACGUCGCGGGUUAAUACCCCGCGAAACUGACGGUACCGGCAGAAUAAGCACCGCCUAACUACGUGCCAGCAACCGCGGUAAUACGUAGGGUGCAAGCGAUAAUCGGAAUUACAGGGCGAAUAGCGUGCGCUGG